AGUGAACGCUGGCGGCGUGCUUAACACAUGCAAGUCGAGCGGUAACGGAGAUAGCUUGCUAUCUGCUGACGAGCGGCGGACGGGUGAGUAAUGCUUGGGAAUAUGCCUUUGAGUGGGGGACAACAGUUGGAAACGACUGCUAAUACCGCAUAAUGUCUACGGACCAAAGGGGGGGACCUUCGGACCUCUCGCUCAUAGAUUAGCCCAAGUGAGAUUAGCUAGUUGGUAAGGUAAUGGCUUACCAAGACGACGAUCUCUAGCUGGUUUGAGAGGAUGAUCAGCCACACUGGGACUGAGACACGGCCCAG
rnacentral:rRNA from 1 species